CGCGAGGAUUUUUUUCUGGUCCCGCCGAAACAGAACAAAGCAUUCUGGGACUUGUAGUCCUUGAGACGUCUUUCCCUAGGUCCUCCAAGUUACUCCGUGUCCGGUACCGCCUAUUCUCUGCUCCCCUGAACCUUUAGGCUAGUCUCGGCCCACUUGAAGACCAGGAAGUUGAUCAAACCGCUGGCCGGCUGCUGAGAGACGGUGGCGCGAGUGGGACAGUCGCCAGGGAUGGCUGAGCGUGAGGAUGCAGCGGGUGUCUGGGCUGUUCUCCUGGACGCUGAGCAGAGUCCUGUGGCUCUCGGGCCUCUCUGAGCCGGGAGCUGCCCGGCAGCCCCGGAUCAUGGAAGAGAAAGCGCUAGAGGUUUAUGAUUUGAUUAGAACGAUCCGGGACCCAGAAAAGCCCAGUACUUUAGAAGAACUGGAAGUGGUCUCGGAAAGUUGUGUGGAAGUUCAGGAGAUAAAUGAAGAAGAAUAUCUGGUUAUUAUCAGGUUCACGCCAACAGUACCUCAUUGCUCUUUGGCGACUCUUAUUGGGCUAUGCUUAAGAGUAAAACUUCAGCGAUGUUUACCAUUUAAACAUAAGUUGGAAAUCUACAUUUCUGAAGGAACCCACUCAACAGAAGAAGACAAAUUAGAGAUCUGAGAACCAAAAGGCAUCCUUAAGAUUGGGCCUACCUUCCUUCCAAGGAGAAUCCUGGACCCCCUCAUAGAUAAGGAACAAAUGUGGAGAGGGCCAGAUGGCAAUCACAAUUUUGAAGAUCAAGAAGUCCAUCAAAGAGGUUUUGAUUAAACCAACCUGAAUGUAUGGCUUUCACUUUAUUUGUAGUUCAUUUGGUUUGUUUUAGGGGUAAAUGGUCAUGUGAAGUAUAGCAGCCUCCAACAUGGGCCCCUCACUUCCUGGUAUUCACGCCCUUGUAGAAUUUCCUUCCAUAUUGAAUUAGGGCUGAUGGGUGUGAUUAAUAAAGAAUGGCAGAAGUGACAGUAGAUGACUUCUGAGGCUAGAUCAUAAAAGGUAUUGCUGCUUUUACCUUAGUCUCUUGGAUUGCUCAUUCUGUGGGGAUCCAGUCACUAUGUCAUGAGAACUCCUGUGGAGAAUUCCACAUGGAGUGCAACUGAGGCCUCCCAACAACAACCAGUGCCAAUCUGCAAACCAUGUGAGUAAACUCCUGAGCCAGAACUGCCUAGCUUCCAAAUUCUGGACUCAGGCACUUUCUUGGGUGCUGAGGACACAGAUAAAUCAGCCAUUGUUUGUCCUCCUGGAGUUCAUACUUAUCACCUUACACCUGCAGCUUCUGUCUGCUCCAGGCAGUGAGUGAUUGAGCCUGUCUUACCUAGUGCCUGAGCUAGUUCUGGCCAAGUAGAAACAGAAGCCAGGCAGCAGGACCAAAGACAAAACUUUGCCUUAGGAAGUGUCUAGUGAGGGUGCUACUGAUGUGCAACUCCAAGUGGAUCAUUGCUAGAGGAGUCACCUGAAUUGCUGGCCGUGCUGCUCCUGUAAGCUAGAUGUGUCUUCUGUUUUCUCCACUACUACCAGAAUGAUUUCUCUUUUUUGUGUGACUCACUCCAGCUUCCUAGUCCUAGGUGAGAUCUCUAGUCGGCUGAUCUCAAGUCACAUGUCCAUGUCCUGGCUGCCAAGAAGGCAGGAGAAAAGAUAAUGUGACCUUUGAUGUGGGGAGGUGGACUCUGUCCCCCAGCAAGACUCACAUGGUAAGAACACUGAGGCCAGGAGAAUUUGAGUGACCUGUGCAUACUCACACAGCAUGGAAGAAUCAGAGCCCACGGCAUCAGAACCUGUGAGCUUGGGAUAUAUCAGAAGAGGCCUGAUUUCCAGUUAAGCAUUUGCCAAAGAUCAGUGGCAUGAUUUGGGCAAGUCAUUUUCCCUAUUGAUUCAAGUGAAUUAACAGAACAAAACACAAUUUUUUCUAGGUUCCUUAUCUAUUUUGUGGAUUGAAAAUAGGGUCUAGGUAGAUUGGCAGACAUAGAGCUUCCUGGUGAAAUAAAUGAGACACAGCUGGAUACAAAAAUCA